rnacentral:piRNA from 1 species
UCGACUCAGUGCAAUAAACAA